UACACGGUGGCCUGCAUGGCUGUCGGUCAGCUCGUGUCGUGAGAUGUUGGGUUAAGUCCCGUAACGAGCGCAACCCUUGUCCCUUAGUUACCAGCACGUUAUGGUGGGCACUCGUAAGGAGACUUGCCGGUGACAAACCGGAGGAAGGUGGGGAUGACGUCAAGUCAUCAUGGCCCUUACGGCCUGGGCUACACACGUGCUACAAUGGUCGGUACAAAGGGUUGCCAAGCCGCGAGGUGGAGCUAAUCCCAAUAAAACCGAUCGUAGUCCGGAUCGCAGUCUGCAACUCGACUGCGUGAAGUCGGAAUCGCUAGUAAUCGUGAAUCAGAAUGUCACGGUGAAUACGUUCCCGGGCCUU
rnacentral:rRNA from 1 species